rnacentral:tRNA from 1 species
AGAAAGUUAGUUAAAUAAUAACAUUAGAAUGUCAAACUAAAAUAAUUGAUCAUUCAAUACUUUCUA